AGUGAACGCUGGCGGCGUGCUUAACACAUGCAAGUCGAACGAGAACGGAAUAUAGCUUGCUAUAUUUGUCAGCUAAGUGGCGCACGGGUGAGUAAUGUAUAGAUAACCUGCCCUUAAGAAAGGAAUAACAGUUGGAAACGACUGCUAAUGCCCUAUAUGCCUUUAAUACAUAAGUAUGCAAGGGAAACGCUUUAGUGCUUAAGGAUGGGUCUGUAUGGUAUCAGCUUGUUGGUGAGGUAAUGGCUCACCAAGGCUAUGACGCCUAACUGGUUUGAGGGGAUGAUCAGUCACACUGGAACUGAGACACGGUCCAGACUCCUACGGGAUGCAGCAGUGGGGAAUAUUGCACAAUGGACGAAAGUCUGAUGCAGCAACGCCGCGUGGAGGAUGACACAUUUCGGUGCGUAAACUCCUUUUAUAUAGGAAGAUAAUGACGGUACUAUAUGAAUAAGCACCGGCUAACUCCGUGCCAGCAGCCGCCGUAA
rnacentral:rRNA from 1 species